GCCCAAAGUUCGAAGUUUUAUAUUCAAAAUUCCAAAGGAAUUUUAUCGUUCAAAAUCGCUGAAUAUUUUUCAUCUACAACUUUAGAAAGUGGAAAUAUUUCCAGAUGCAUGGGCCCUCAUCAUUCGAAUAUUUACCAUCAAACAACAAAUAUGACUGGUUUAUAGUUUAUUUUGUCUAAACUGAUACAUUCCCAUGCACAUGCAAAUUACAUCCUCUGAGAAAAUCCACAAACUAACCCCUCUGAAAUUUGAAAUCGUUGACGUGGCUAGAAAAACAGUAAAUGCCAUACCAUCACAAUAUUUACUAAAUGUCGGCGGAUCCUUUUAUUUAUAUAUGUUACUGUAUAUUCUGUAGAUUUUAGAUUUUCUGCAUUUGUAUUUUAGCGAGUGCCGGUGGCGUGGUUGUCUAGGGCGUUGCGUGCAUUCUUACAUGCUGCUGAUUGGUGGUUCGAAUCCCGCAAUGGCCAAUGUUUUGUUUUUCGUUCUCAUAUUUUUUUUCUUUAAGAUUUUUCCUAAGAUUGCCUUUACAAUACAGGAGAGUUACUAUUGUAUGAUUAUAAAUUACUAUUAUUAAAUUGCCCCCUUCUUUCAAAAUUCGAUACUGAAUUAUUUUUUAAUAGUCGAGGCCAUUUUGUAGUUUGCAACUUCGCGGCAAUUUCCAAUUUCCAUAAUUGUGUUAAUUAAUGCUUAAUGUUGAGCCACUGACAUCAUCUGAUUUGAUCGUGGACAGGGGUCACAGAACGCCCGGGAUAAAUUGACUACACUUCAACACACUGAAGAUCUUCUACUCACAAUUUUUCCAUCUAUGGCACUUUACUUUAUCAGAGAAGAAAACUUUAGUGCACAUGCAGUUAGCAAAUUUAGCAGUCUGGUCAGCCUGGUUUGUACUUUGUACUAGGGAAGGGUUAUCUGUCACGAUUCAUCACUGUCAAAUUAAUUGAACAGACAAGUUCAAAUAGCACAAUCUAGACUGCUAGCUUAUUACUGUAAUAUCGGCAAUAUAGCUAAUACCCUUAAUAUAUGUAAACAAACUAUAUACCAACUGACAAACUAUAUUUACACAAAUUUGUCCAGAAGGAACAUCUGUUCGUAUUGCAAAUUUCUAGAGUCAUUUUACGCAUUCAGUGAUGUUUCAUGUAUCAAGUGUCA